UGGGGAAUAUUGGACAAUGGGGGAAACCCUGAUCCAGCCAUGCCGCGUGAAUGAUGAAGGCCUUAGGGUUGUAAAGUUCUUUUAACGGGGAAGAUGAUGACGGUACCCGUAGAAUAAGCUCCGGCUCACUUCGUGCCAGCAGCCGCGGUAAUACGAAGGGAGCAAGCGUUGUUCGGAAUCACUGGGCGUAAAGCGCGCGUAGGCGGCUUUUCAAGUCAGAGGUGAAAUGCCAGGGCUUAACCCUGGAACUGCCUUUGAAACUGUUAAGCUGGAGUACUGGAAGGGAUGGCGGAAUUCCUAAUGUAGAGGUGAAAUUCGUAGAUAUUAGGAGGAACACCGGUGGCGAAGGCGGCCAUCUGGACAGUAACUGACGCUGAGGCGCGAAAGUGCGGGGAUCAAACAGG
rnacentral:rRNA from 1 species